AAGCUCGUAGUUGAAUUUCGCGAUUGACACGUCGGUCGUGCCUUAAGGGGUAUGAACUGGUGUAGUCAAUUUCUCACCUUCUGGAGAACCGCGAUGCCCUUAAUUGGGUGUCACGGGGAACCAGGACCUUUACUUUGAAAAAAUUAGAGUGUUUAAAGCAGGCAUUUUGCUUGAAUACAUUAGCAUGGAAUAAUAAAAUAGGACGGCAUGAUUCUAUUUUGUUGGUUUCUAGGAUCACCGUAAUGAUUAAUAGGGAUAGUUGGGGGCAUUAGUAUUCAAUUGUCAGAGGUGAAAUUCUUGGAUUUAUUGAAGACUAACUACUGCGAAAGCAUUUGCCAAGGAUGUUUUCAUUAAUCAAGAACGAAAGUUAGGGGAUCGAAGACGAUCAGAUACCGUCGUAGUCUUAACCAUAAACUAUGCCGACUAGGAAUCAGACGAUGUUAAUUUUUUAAUGACUCGUUUGGCACCUUACGGGAAACCAAAGUGUUUGGGUUCCGGGGGGAGUAUGGUCGCAAGGCUGAAACUUAAAGGAAUUGACGGAAGGGCACCACCAGGGGUGGAGCCUGCGGCUUAAUUUGACUCAACACGGGAAAA
rnacentral:rRNA from 1 species